rnacentral:rRNA from 1 species
CGCGAAACCUUUACACUGCACGCCAGUGGAAUAAGGGGACCCCGAGUGCGAGGACAUACUAGUCCUCGCUUUUCUGUACCGUAGGAGGUACAGGAACAAGAGCUGGGCAAGACCGGUGCCAGCCGCCGCGGUAAUACCGGCAGCUCGAGUGAUGGCCGCUGUUAUUGGGCCUAAAGCGUCCGUAGCUGGCCACGCAAGUCCGUCGGGAAAUCCAUCGGCUCAACCGAUGGGCGUCCGGCGGAAACUGCGUGGCUUGGGACCGGAAGGCUCGAGGGGUACGUCCGGGGUAGGAGUGAAAUCCCGUAAUCCUGGACGGACCACCGAUGGCSGAAAGCACCUCGAGAAGACGGAUCCGACAGUAGGGACGAAAGCUGGGGUCUCGAACCGGAUUAGAUACCCGGGUAGUCCCAGCCGUAAACGAUGCCAGUUAGGUGUGGCACAGGCUACGAGCCUGUCUGUGCCGUAGGGAAGCCGUGAAACUGGCCGCCUGGGAAGUACGUCCGCAAGGAUGAAACUUAAAGGAAUUGGCGGGGGAGCACUACAACCGGAGGAGCUGCGGUUUAAUUGGACUCAACGCCGGACAUUUCACCAGCUCCGACUACAGUGAUGACGGUCAGGUUGAUGACCUCGCCACGACGCUGUAGAGAGGAGGUGCAUGGCCGCCGUCAGCUCGUACCGUGAGGCGUCCUGUUAAGUCAGGCAACGAGCGAGACCCGCACACUUAAUUGCCAGCAUCAGGUUUCCUGGAUGGGUACAUUAAGUGGACUGCCGCUGCUAAAGCGGAGGAAGGAACGGGCAACGGUAGGUCAGUAUGCCCCGAAUGAGCUGGGCUACACGCGGGCUACAAUGGCCAAGACAAUGGGUUCCAACCCCGAAAGAGGACGGUAAUCUCCGAAACUUGGUCGUAGUUCGGAUUGUGGGCUGAAACUCGCCCACAUGAAGCUGGAUUCGGUAGUAAUCGCGUUUCUGCAGAGCGCGGUGA